CCUACGGGGGGCAGCAGUGGGGAAUAUUGGACAUUGGGCGAAAGCCUGAUCCAGCCAUGCCGCGUGUGUGAAGAAGGCCUUCGGGUUGUAAAGCACUUUCAGUGGGGAAGAAAGCCUUGGGGCUAAUACCCUCGAGGAAGGACAUCACCCACAGAAGAAGCACCGGCUAACUCCGUGCCAGCAGCCGCGGUAAUACGGAGGGUGCGAGCGUUAAUCGGAAUUACUGGGCGUAAAGCGCGCGUAGGCGGUCUGAUAAGCCGGUUGUGAAAGCCCCGGGCUCAACCUGGGAACGGCAUCCGGAACUGUCAGGCUAGAGUGCAGGAGAGGAAGGUAGAAUUCCCGGUGUAGCGGUGAAAUGCGUAGAGAUCGGGAGGAAUACCAGUGGCGAAGGCGGCCUUCUGGACUGACACUGACGCUGAGGUGCGAAAGCGUGGGUAGCAAACAGGAUUAGAUACCCGAGUAGUC
rnacentral:rRNA from 1 species